rnacentral:rRNA from 1 species
CCUACGGGAGGCAGCAGUGAGGAAUAUUGGUCAAUGGGCGCAAGCCUGACCCAGCAAAGCCGCGUGAAGGAUGAAUGCCCUAUGGGUGGUAAACUUCUUUUAUAUGGGAAUAAAGUGCAGCAUGUAUACUGCUUUGCAUGUACCUUAUGAAUAAGCAUCGGCUAACUCCGUGCCAGCAGCCGCGGUAAUACGGAGGAUCCGGGCGUUAUACGGAUUUAUUGGGGUUAAAGGGAGCGUAGGCGGGUUGGUAAGUCAGUUGUGAAAGUUUGCGGCUCAACCGUAGAAUUGCAGUUGAUACUGGCUUCCUUGAGUACAGGAGAGGUAGGCGGAAUGCGUGGUGUAGCGGUGAAAUGCGUAGAUAGCACGAAGAACACCGAUGGCGAAGGCAGCCUGCUGGACGGUAACUGACGCUGAUGCGCGAAAGUGUGGGUAUCAAACAGGAUUAGAUACCCUAGUAGUC